UUUUAUCGACGCACAUCUCUC
rnacentral:snRNA from 1 species